GGAUGCGAUCAUACCAGCACUAAAGCACCGGAUCCCAUCAGAACUCCGAAGUUAAGCGUGCUUGGGAGAGAGUAGUACUAGGAUGGGUGACCUCCUGGGAAGUCCUCGUGUUGCAUUCC
rnacentral:rRNA from 2 species